GAGUUUGAUCGUGGCUCAGAUUGAACGCUGGCGGCAUGCCUUACAUAUGCAAGUCGAACGGCAGCAUGAUCUAGCUUGCUAGAUUGAUGGCGAGUGGCGAACGGGUGAGUAAUACAUCGGAACGUGCCCUGUAGUGGGGGAUAACUAGUCGAAAGAUUAGCUAAUACCGCAUACGACCUGAGGGUGAAAGUGGGGGACCGCAAGGCCUCAUGCUAUAGGAGCGGCCGAUGUCUGAUUAGCUAGUUGGUGGGUAAAGGCCCACCAAGGCGACGAUCAGUAGCUGGUCUGAGAGGACGAUCAGCCACACUGGGACUGAGACACGGCCCAGACUCCUACGGGAGGCAGCAGUGGGGAAUUUUGGACAAUGGGCGAAAGCCUGAUCCAGCAAUGCCGCGUGUGUGAAGAAGGCC
rnacentral:rRNA from 1 species